rnacentral:lncRNA from 1 species
GAUCAAUUGUAAGUACAGUGGGGUUUUACGCCCAAACUGCGAGUGUCGUGUUCUCCACAGAGACUAGGCGAACAACAGCUAUGCUCGGCUAAAGCUAGGUAACAUGAUAUCGGGUGAUGAAAGCAGAAAAUUAAACCUAAGCUAACGAAGAUUGAUGACAAAAAAAUACAAACAACAAAGGGAGAUUAAGAUUGCAAUCACCGUCUUUUUGGUGUUUUCAUAUUACUUGCGAAACUAAAAUGCUAACAUAGGGGAUCAAUACUAAAAAAAGGGUAAACAAGAUAUGAUACUGGGACAGAAAUAUAUCACAACACAAACAUAUAUAUUUUCACAUGAACGUAAUUAACACAGGGACUACAGAACACACAUAAGCACACAUAAGCAAACAGGGCACUACACCAUGAUUCAGAUUACACAAGUAAACAAAUUAUACAAGCCACUUACUAGUAUCACAGAUCAACAGAGUAGUAUUGAACAACUAAAAAAAUAGAUAGUAGAAGUAACUAGUACAUGGAGCAAGUACUCUUAGAAUCUGAAUGUUACAGACUACACGUCUCAGACUACAGAAAAUUCAGAGAAGAGAAGGAGAAAGAGAGAUGGCAGCAGGAGUUUAGAGAAAGAAGCAGCAGCAACAGGGGCAUGGAGAAAGGAGCAGCAGCAGUACGGGAUUCAGAGAAGAGCAACAGAGAGGGAGAGAGCAGCAGCAAGGACGAGGGAAGGAGGAGCAGCACCAGGGGCGCAAGACGAGCAUCAGCAGCAGGAGCGUGAGAAGGAGCAGUACCAGGGGCGUGAGAGGGGAAGCAAGUGAGGAACAGCAAGGGGCGCGGGAGAGAAGAAGCAGCAGCAGUUUGAGACGAGGGAAGAAGAAGCAGCACUAGGAGAGGGAGGAGUCAGGGGAAGGAGAAGGCAGCGGCGCUGAUGGAGAGGGCGCAGUGGAGCUAGUGGAUGGAUGGCGCUGAUGGUGGAUGUGGUGGUACGACAAAGUUGAUGGAGAGGGCGCAGUGAAGCAGAUAGUGGAGAUGGAUGGUGGUGCUGGUGAUGUGCGACGGCGAAGUGGAGGGAUGGCGUUGGUGGAGCUGGUGGCGCGCCCCACGCCGGCCUGGCUGUGGCGGCGGCCGAAGGUGGAGAAGGAGGGGAUGAAGGAGAGAGAGAUAUGCCAGGCCCGAGGGGAAUUGGAGAUGGACUAGGGAUUUUGACCCCUCGAUCUGAUCUUCCAUUUGCACAAUGGCCCUCCUGCUCCCUUCUUCCUUCGCAAGAACAUCCCUCUCUUCUCAAGUUGGCCCCCUGGUUACUUUGUUUCUUCUCGCACAAGUCCAUUCUUCCUCCUCUUCUUCGUUCUCUUAGCCACUUAGUCCGUAUCUUGAAGUUUAUAGUGCCUUCCCGCACUUUUCUGCAAAACAAACCACUUAGUAGUAAAUGACCCCUUUAUAUGAUUAUCAUUCACAAAUUCAACAAUUCAUAGCAAGAAAUGAAUGAAUAUAACUCAAUAAACCGCAUAUUUUAGUGCCAAAAGAUGUAUAUGAAAUGUGUUGAUCAAUUUCCCCCACACUUAAAUCUUUGCGCUAGUGAAAAUUAAUGGUUAGGAGUGCUACAAAGCAGUAGGAUACUAGUAAGCAUGACCAUUUUAAACUUUUACGGUGAUAAAAGAGGAUCAACAAGUUUAAAUGAUGACUGCGCCAAAUGGUUCCUAAAGAGAGCAUGAUCCCGAGAACAAAAAGAACUAGAAUUAAAUCUCUUAUUUGCAGAAAUAUGACUUAGUGGUUGAACCACUUAUUGAAUUUGAAAGAAACACACAUAAUAUUUUAUUAGUCUCACCGAAGGAACAUACCACCGAUCCCGAGAACAUGGUAUACACCUGGCUCAACCAAUUUUUAUUAAUUUUUUUGUUUGUCUCCCCAAAGGAACAUACCACCGAUCCCGAGAACAUGGUAUACACCUGGUUUGACAAUUACAUUUCUAUUAUUAUUAAUUACUGCCCAAGCUAACCCGAUUUCACAUGCCACCGAUCCCGGGAACAUGACAUGCUACUGUAGGUAGCCAGACUUAUUUAUUCAUUAUUACUUAUCUUAAAUGAACAACACAUAAGCACAAAAACAGGAAUCAUCACUUCUCCAUGUCUGGUUCACAUGCUACCGAUCCAGGGAACAUAGCAUACUAGUCCAUAGUGGUAAAGUGAUUGCUCUCAAUGGGAACACACUUAGCACAAAUUCAGCAUCUAAACAUGGUGAUCUAGGUGUAUCAUAGUAAAUGCAGAAAAUGAUUAAGUUUACUAGUGCACUAGGGAUUUGAGCACUCAAAACUAAUAGCUUUCACUACUUUCAGCAAAGCAAACAGGGUGUAGAUCACUAGUUUACAAGGCAUUCAACAAUCAGUUCGCAUAUUCUCAUCAAGCACCAUAUGUCAAAGGUGAAAUUCAGUGGGACGACAUUUAAGAAAUGGCACAAGCAACCCAAAUAUCAAUUUAAUUCAGCAAGCAUCAAUGGAUGAUGAUUUCAAAAUGGGUCAUGAAACAGCUCACCGGGCACUAUGAACUAACACCCGCUUGAUCACUCUCUAAGCUACAACUCUCUCCUUUUGCUUCCUCAUGCAUGCUCCAGCUUCGCUCUUCCUCAUGUGUGCCCCUUGCUUCUCCUCAUCCCCACGCCAUGGGUCCACCGGGGUCCCAGGGAAUGUCAUCUCGAACUUGAUCAGCAUGUAGUGGAUCGUGCACAAGCAACAACCUGAAAGAGCACUCAACCAAGGAGGCGAUACAAGUGACAGGGGUAAUGCCCUCUAAAUCAUCAAUAGAAUACCCAAUUACAUAAGCAUAGCUAUAAAGCACAUGUUUAGGAUGGUACAAAUCAGUAAGCUCAAUGCUAGUAUUAGAAUCACACGUUUCAUUAAGCAUGGGUAUAGCAUCAGGAACAUAAGUAUCAUGAACAGAGAUAUGAGCAAUGCCACUAACAGGGUGUGUAUGAUCAUGUCCAAGCAAAUAGUUUUUCAAAUCUACCUUAAGUGAUGGCAUUAUGAAAUGCAAGGUAGUAGCAAACAAAUCAUAUGAAGACAUGUCAUUAAGAGGAUUAGAUAAACCUGACACAUCACGCUCUUGUAUGACAAUAGGCAAAUGAAUCUCAGGUUCUUCAUCUUCAUCUACAACAGCUUCUUUUACUUCUUCAGGAGUAGUAGAUGACGAGUCUUCAACUUGAUCACUUGGGAAUUGCAGAUCUUGAUCAUCUUGUUCCUUGUCUUCUAGUUCAUCUUCUUCAAUCUGAGGUAUCUCUUGCUCAAAGCACUUGCUAUCUUGCUCAGCUGGAUGUGACGGUAUUGGAACCUCACAUGUAUCAAGGGGAAUCCCAGAAUUACUCAGCUCAAGUUGUGAAGAAAUAGUACUACCAGCGUUGAUGUUCUUCUCAAUCUUCUUUACUUCUUCCACUAGCUCAUUCCCACUCUUGAUCUUCUUCAUUUCCUCUAGUAUCACCUUCCUAAUAGGAUCAUCUUCCGCACUCCAAGUGAACUCGAGACUAAGCAAUGUGAGCUUGUCUAUGUCAUCGAACUCAUCUUAUGUGGGCACUUGUGCAUGAGAUUGCUCAACAGGUGCAAGAGUUGUUGGUUGACCAAGUGGAGGACCAUUUAACUCCAUUGGACACAUCUCCCGGUGUUGAGGUAUAUGAAUAGGAACUGAUUAAGACUGUUGUGGAGCAUAGUUGUGGCUCUCCUCUUCAUACCUAAAUCCCUGCAUAUGAUUACUAGAAGCAAACGGUGAGAUCUCAGGGUUGUUGCUCCUAUAUGACAUAUUCGGGUUUUCAGGCCACCCAUGUGAGUAAUUGUUUUGGUAUGAGCUAUGAUCUUGAGCGAAGCUCAUGCCAAAACAAUCUGGAGUGUGAGAGUAACCACGCUGACAUUCAGCGGGCGAAUGGCCCUGAAAUCCACAAAUAUGGCAUGUAGGAGCAACAUAAGGAUUGCCUCCGGAAUAAGGAUAAUAAGAACUAGGCCUAUCCUCGAAAACUACUCCUCGCUGCUGAGCUAAAUCAUCUAAUUGAUGGGAGAUCUUACUUAUCAGUUCUUGAAUACUUUCCAUGCUGUUUGUAGUGUUGCUCGCAUAAGCCUGAUGAUCUGAAUAGUAAGCCAUAACCGAGAAGACAGUUCUAACCUACAAAAAGGAAAAGAAAACAAAAAAAUACUAACUAGAACAGGGGUUAGAGGUUAGAGAUAUAUCACAAAUAUAUAGCACAAACUAGAAAAAGAAGAAAAACCUAGUCUAUAGCCUAACACAGUCACACGACGCUAGUCCCCGGCAACGGUGCCAAAAUGAUCAAUUGUAAGUACAGUGGGGUUUUACGCCCAAACUGCGAGUGUCGUGUUCUCCACAGGGACUAGGCGAACAACAUCUAUGCUCGGGUAAAGCUAGGUAACAUGAUAUCGGGUGAUGAAAGCAGAAAAUUAAACCUAAGCUAACGAAGAUUGAUGACAAAAAAAUACAAACAACAAAGGGAGAUUAAGAUUGCAAUCACCGUCUUUUUGUUGUUUUCAUAUUACUUGCGAAACUAAAAUGCUAACACAGGGGAUCAACACUAAAAAAAGGGUAAACAAGAUAUGAUACUGGGACAGAAAUAUAUCACAACACAAACAUAUAUAUUUUCACAUGAACGUAAUUAACACAGGGACUACAGAACACACAUCAGCACACAUAAGCGAACAGGGCACUACACCAUGAUUCAGAUUACACAAGUAAACAAAUUAUACAAGCCACUUACUAGUAUCACAGAUCAACAGAGUAGUAUUGAACAACUAAAAAAAUAGAUAGUAGAAGUAACUAGUACAUGGAGCAAGUACUCUUAGAAUCUGAAUGUUACAGACUACACGUCUCAGACUACAGAAAAUUCAGAGAAGAGAAGGAGAAAGAGAGAUGGAAGCAGGAGGUUAGAGAAAGAAGAAGCAGCAACAGGGGCAUGGAGAAAGGAGCAGCAGCAGUACGGGAUUCAGAGAAGAGCAACAGAGAGGGAGAGAGCAGCAGCAAGGACGAGGGAAGGAGGAGCAGCACCAGGGGCGCAAGACGAGCAGCAGCAGCAGGAGCGUGAGAAGGAGCAGUACCAGGGGCGUGAGAGGGGAAGCAAGUGAGGAACAGCAAGGGGCGUGGGAGAGAAGAAGCA